CCCAGGUGUGGCAGGAGCUUUUACCUGCUCUUCGGCAGUAGCCGGCUGCCACUCAACCCCAUGCCUGGAUUGUCCUCAUCUAAUCCGUCAGUAUCAGACAGUGAACAUCUCUCCCCCAUGAUGCUGAGGGAGGGUGCUGGAGGGAAGGAUGUCGAACUACAGCCUCUGCUCUCAAGAAGCUCAGAUCUGGGCAGGGAACAUCACACACCAGGGCUGUCGGGGGGUGGAGAGCUGGGGGAGGGAUAGCAUUAGGGGAAAUACCUAAUGUAAAUGACAAGUUGAUAGGUGCAGCAAACCAACAUGGCACAUGUAUACCUGUGUAACAAACCUGCAUGUUGUGCACAUGUACCCUAGAACUUUAAU
rnacentral:lncRNA from 1 species